rnacentral:rRNA from 1 species
AUGAACGCUGGCGGCGUGCCUAAUACAUGCAAGUCGAGCGAACAGACGAGGAGCUUGCUCCUCUGACGUUAGCGGCGGACGGGUGAGUAACACGUGGAUAACCUACCUAUAAGACUGGGAUAACUUCGGAAAACCGGAGCUAAUACCGGAUAAUAUAUUGAACCGCAUGGUUCAAUAGUGAAAGACGGUUUUGCUGUCACUUAUAGAUGGAUCCGCGCCGCAUUAGCUAGUUGGUAAGGUAACGGCUUACCAAGGCAACGAUGCGUAGCCGACCUGAGAGGGUGAUCGGCCACACUGGAACUGAGACACGGUCCAGACUCCUACGGGAGGCAGCAGUAGGGAAUCUUCCGCAAUGGGCGAAAGCCUGACGGAGCAACGCCGCGUGAGUGAUGAAGGUCUUCGGAUCGUAAAACUCUGUUAUUAGGGAAGAACAAAUGUGUAAGUAACUAUGCACGUCUUGACGGUACCUAAUCAGAAAGCCACGGCUAACUACGUG